rnacentral:rRNA from 1 species
AAACUAAUUUAGUUUGGCGGCAUUUCAUCUAUUUAGAGGAAUUUGUCCUUUAAUCGAUAAUCCACGUUAAAUUUUACUUUAAUCAAAAACUUGUAUACCGCCAUCUAAAGAAUUAAUUUAAAAAUAUUCCUCCAAAUAAAUUAUAAAAAGUUAGGUCAAGGUGUAAUCUAUAUUAAAGAAAUAGAUGAAUUACAUUAAAUAAUAUUUAAAGAGUAUUAAUAAAUAUACAAAUACAAAUAAGAAUUUAAAAGUAAUUUAUUAACAAUAAUAAUAUAUGAUAAAGAUAAUAAAUGUGCACACAUCGCCC